AAAUUGGUGCCCAGGUGGUUCUGCUAGGAGGCUGUGUAUCCUGGGUGCCAGCAGGAUAGCAGUGCCCUAGUAGUGGCAUUGGGUGUCCACUGCAUGGGGGUCUUCUCCAU
ensembl:miRNA